UGGCUUCAGGAAGAAUAGAGGCUCUGUCAACCAGAUUUUCAUGCUGUGUAACAUCAUGGAGCAGUGCACAGAGUGGUUCGCGUUGUUACGUACCCUGUAACUGGGUUGCCAAACCAGCAGAAAUCGACCACUUAGUUGGAGUCUGGAUUAUUGGAACUAAGAAAGUUUUAUUAAAGAAGUGUCUGUUGGUUCUGGUACAUCCGAAUGAGGACACACUUUGAUUCCUGGUGAGUGGGUCCUGGUCAAGGAACUGUGUAAGGAACCCCUGGCAGCGUGUUUAGAAGGUCCUUACCAAGUAUUGUUAAUUACUAAUUCAGCAGUUAACGUAGAAGUCAAAUGUAAGUGAAUACACGCCAGCUACUGCAAAUGAGCUGAAGUAACUCCAGAUUGAAACAAAUACUGUUUGUGGGAAGACUUCAAACACAAAUAUAAUUAUUGGACAUUAUGACAAUGAAUCUGCAUUUUUUGUGUUUGUUUAAAAGCGAUUACUCUGAAUUUUCAGAAGUGAUUCUGCCACAGUCCUUAUAGAAUCAAAAGGGGGGACUGCAGGAAACCAGUGUUUUUUAUAACACUUUUUAUAAAGUUUGUACUCUUAAAUGAAGUCAUGCAUUUGUCACAGUGCGUGGUGGUUCACCCUAUCCACUGGCACAAAGCGGUAUAGCAGUUAAAGAAACGGUUUAUCACCUUAACAGCAGGAAUUCUGCAGAUGCUGGAAAUUCAAGCAACACACAUCAAAGUUGCUGGUGAACAUAGCAGGCCAGGCAGCAUCUCUAGGAAGAAGUACAGUCGAUGU